GCCCACAUAGCUCAGUUGGCAGAGCACUUCCAUGGUAAGGAAGAGGUCAGAGGUUCGAUUCUUCUUGUGGGCA
rnacentral:tRNA from 1 species